CAGGAGUGAAGCCGCAGGUCUUGGCAGUAUUACAGCUCAUAAAGGCUAAGCUCAGAGGAGAAAACAAGAUUGGCAGAGCAAUAGAAGAGAACCAGGACUUGGAAGAAGCAGGAGGCAGAGAGGUGCUUGAUCCUGAUUUUAAUAAAAAAGAGAGAGAGAUUUCCCAAGACUAGAGAGGAGUGAGGCAUGUGGAUGACAGAACAAUGAUAUGCCCACCUUCUGCCUUCCAGGGGGUGACACCUCAAAGAAAGAAUUGGCAAAAAUGGGAUCAUAAGGACAGUGGUUCCUGGCUUCUCCCAAGAUUCUAUAUUCAAAAAGGAACCUGAACUUGAGAGCAGAGGGUGGGAAGGACAAUGGCUCCACCAGCAGUUACUUGGCUGAGCAGAUGGUAAUGACCAGGGGCCACCAUCAGCGCAUUGGCUCAUCAUGUGGGCUCAGAACCUUAAAAAGACCCUGAGGGACUUUAUGUCCCAAAUAGAGUAUGUGAGAUGGAAUUACA
rnacentral:lncRNA from 1 species